UGAUCCACCAUUAAUAACAUUGAAGGACAGAACUGCCAACACUACCUUGGUCUUACCAGCCAAAUCUGAAACUUGCUGCACAACAAAGAGGAAAUUUGAAAUAAGCACAUAUAUGAUUGCAGAUUACUCGACUUGGAAAUUUAGCCCUAGUUUCAGCUAGUAUUGACGAACAGGUAAUCUAAAGUGCUUAAUGUUAUAAACUGGUCAUAGGUACAUGAACAAUUUGGAAUAUAAGAUAGUUACAUAAAUGCAAACGACAAAAAUUACAAAAGUCGUGCUCUUAGUCAAUGGAUUAAACAGUUGAUGAGAUUUUAUUUCAUGGAGAGUACCUCAACUGAAGGUGUACUUAAAGGGCUGGAGCUGUUGUUUGCGCUUUGUGCUCUCGAUGAGGAUGGUAAGUUAACCAAAGUGGGUGAGAAUAUUGCUGAGUUUUCCAUAGAUCGCAUGCUUGGUGUUUGUUAAAAUAAGAAUUCCUGUUCUGAGAUAAUAAGUAUUGCUGAAAUUAUUUCUGUGGGAAAUUCAGUGCUUAAUCAUCAAAGGACAGAGAAAUCAAAGCUGUCAAUUUCACCAAUUAGAAGUAAAUAAUACAACAAAUGAAAUUGAGCGGUAUAAACUUACGUUUAAAUAGAACUCAGAUACAUAGUCGAGGCAGAUAAAUGGUAUGCCUGCAUUGCAAGGUUGUUUCGGCAUGUGAUCGACUAUUAAUAACUUUGAAGGCAGCAACUUCGAACAACAACUUCUUGUUAGCAGCCUUAUAACCAAUGUGAUUUUAAAAAAAUAGAAAAUUUAAAAUAAGGAAACAUUUUAGUAGUAAUAGACUCUCUGAUUAGAGUUGUC
rnacentral:lncRNA from 1 species